GCGUUGGUAGUGCAAUUGGUUAAGCACGCGAUCCCGGAGAGGUUAAAUUGUCGGUUUGAGUCCCACCUGACGUC